rnacentral:rRNA from 1 species
UGUUGGCUUAGAAGCAGCCAUCAUUUAAAGAAAGCGUAAUAGCUCACUGGUCGAGUCGGCCUGCGCGGAAGAUGUAACGGGGCUAAACCAUGCACCGAAGCUGCGGCAGCGACACUCAGGUGUUGUUGGGUAGGGGAGCGUUCUGUAAGCCUGCGAAGGUGGCCUGUGAGGGUUGCUGGAGGUAUCAGAAGUGCGAAUGCUGACAUAAGUAACGAUAAAGCGGGUGAAAAGCCCGCUCGCCGGAAGACCAAGGGUUCCUGUCCAACGUUAAUCGGGGCAGGGUGAGUCGACCCCUAAGGCGAGGCCGAAAGGCGUAGUCGAUGGGAAACGGGUUAAUAUUCCCGUACUUGGUGUUACUGCGAAGGGGGGACGGAGAAGGCUAUGUUGGCCGGGCGACGGUUGUCCCGGUUUAAGCGUGUAGGUGUGUGUUCCAGGUAAAUCCGGUUCACUUUAACACUGAGGCGUGACGACGAGGCACUACGGUGCUGAAGCAACAAAUGCCCUGCUUCCAGGAAAAGCCUCUAAGCAUCAGGUAACAUCAAAUCGUACCCCAAACCGACACAGGUGGUCAGGUAGAGAAUACCAAGGCGCUUGAGAGAACUCGGGUGAAGGAACUAGGCAAAAUGGUGCCGUAACUUCGGGAGAAGGCACGCUGACACGUAGGUGAAGUGAUUUACUCAUGGAGCUGAAGUCAGUCGAAGAUACCAGCUGGCUGCAACUGUUUAUUAAAAACACAGCACUGUGCAAACACGAAAGUGGACGUAUACGGUGUGACGCCUGCCCGGUGCCGGAAGGUUAAUUGAUGGGGUCAGCGCAAGCGAAGCUCCUGAUCGAAGCCCCGGUAAACGGCGGCCGUAACUAUAACGGUCCUAAGGUAGCGAAAUUCCUUGUCGGGUAAGUUCCGACCUGCACGAAUGGCGUAAUGAUGGCCAGGCUGUCUCCACCCGAGACUCAGUGAAAUUGAACUCGCUGUGAAGAUGCAGUGUACCCGCGGCAAGACGGAAAGACCCCGUGAACCUUUACUAUAGCUUGACACUGAACAUUGAGCCUUGAUGUGUAGGAUAGGUGGGAGGCUUUGAAGUGUGGACGCCAGUCUGCAUGGAGCCGACCUUGAAAUACCACCCUUUAAUGUUU